AUUGAACGCUGGCGGCAUGCUUUACACAUGCAAGUCGAACGGUAACAGGCCGCAAGGUGCUGACGGGUGGCGAACGGGUGAGUAAUGCAUCGGAACGUGCCCAGUCGUGGGGGAUAACUACUCGAAAGAGUAGCUAAUACCGCAUACGAUCUAUGGAUGAAAGCGGGGGACCGUAAGGCCUCGCGCGAUUUGAGCGGCCGAUGUCAGAUUAGGUAGUUGGUGGGGUAAAGGCUCACCAAGCCAACGAUCUGUAGCUGGUCUGAGAGGACGACCAGCCACACUGGGACUGAGACACGGCCCAGACUCCUACGGGAGGCAGCAGUGGGGAAUUUUGGACAAUGGGCGCAAGCCUGAUCCAGCAAUGCCGCGUGCAGGAAGAAGGCCUUCGGGUUGUAAACUGCUUUUGUACGGAACGAAACGGCUCUGGUUAAUACCCGGGGCUAAUGACGGUACCGUAAGAAUAAGCACCGGCUAACUACGUG
rnacentral:rRNA from 1 species